rnacentral:rRNA from 1 species
UACGUAGGUGGCAAGCGUUGUCCGGAUUUACUGGGCGUAAAGAGCGCGCAGGCGGUCGUUCAAGUCGCGUGUGAAAGCCCCCCGGCUCAACUGGGGAGGGUCACGCGAUACUGAUCGACUCGAAGGCAGGAGAGGGAAGUGGAAUUCCCGGUGUAGUGGUGAAAAUGCGUAGAUAUCGGGAGGAACACCAGUGGCGAAGGCGACUUCCUGCCUGUUCUUGACGCUGAGGCGCGAAAGCUAGGGGAGCAAACGGG